rnacentral:rRNA from 1 species
UACGUAGGGAGCAAGCGUUGUUCGGAGUUACUGGGCGUAAAGGGUGUGUAGGCGGUUUUUUAAGUUUGGUGUGAAAUCUCCCGGCUCAACUGGGAGGGUGCGCCGAAUACUGAAUGACUAGAGUGCGGGAGAGGAAAGUGGAAUUCCUGGUGUAGCGGUGAAAUGCGUAGAUAUCAGGAGGAACACCGGUGGUGUAGACGGCUUUCUGGACCGUAACUGACGCUGAGACACGAAAGCGUGGGUAGCAAACAGG